rnacentral:rRNA from 1 species
UGGGGAAUUUUGGACAAUGGGCGAAAGCCUGAUCCAGCAAUGCCGCGUGUGUGAAGAAGGCCUUCGGGUUGUAAAGCACUUUUGUCCGGCAAGAAAACGCCGUGGUUAAUACCCGUGGCGGAUGACGGUACCGGAAGAAUAAGCACCGGCUAACUACGUGCCAGCAGCCGCGGUAAUACGUAGGGUGCAAGCGUUAAUCGGAAUUACUGGGCGUAAAGCGUGCGCAGGCGGUCCGCUAAGACAGAUGUGAAAUCCCCGGGCUUAACCUGGGAACUGCAUUUGUGACUGGCGGGCUAGAGUAUGGCAGAGGGGGGUAGAAUUCCACGUGUAGCAGUGAAAUGCGUAGAGAUGUGGAGGAAUACCGAUGGCGAAGGCAGCCCCCUGGGCCAAUACUGACGCUCAUGCACGAAAGCGUGGGGAGCAAACAGG